rnacentral:rRNA from 1 species
ACGCUCGACACCUACGGGAGGCAGCAGUGGGGAAUAUUGCACAAUGGGGGAAACCCUGAUGCAGCAACGCCGCGUGAGUGAAGAAGUAUUUCGGUAUGUAAAGCUCUAUCAGCAGGGAAGAAAAUGACAGUACCUGACUAAGAAGCCCCGGCUAACUACGUGUCAGCAGCCGCGGUAAUCUGAGCGGGCUGGCAAGGC